CAGUGACCGCCAAUGGUGAUUAAACUAUUUCUGAUGAAGAUGGUGAUGACGAUGCCCUGGAUUUGGUCCUAAAUGAGCUGGAAGCAAGGUGGUCAAAAGACAGACCCAAUUACAAGAGUUAGGCGUUUGAUGCUCAAUGGCUAGCUUAAACAUCCUUGCAAAUUCAAAGCCUCCACUUGGAACCUUUUGCUUUAGGCAAUGGCACUCCAUUUGUUGGCACCGUAUUAAUGAUCUUUUACUAGAGAAGGGUCUGCCACUGACAAUAAUGGAAGGCUUAUGUAUUCGAAUGCUGCUCUGUUCUCUUGACGUGUACAAAUAAUAGAGACAUAAGAAAGCAUCAUUUUAUGCUUGUCCCCUUGAAAAGGACUUCAAAAGAUUUUGCAAGCAGCACAGCAGACAACCCUAAUCGCUGUCUUCCUCAGGAGUACGUAAAGCUGAUAUUGGACAAAAGAGAAUGUGGAAAAAUCAGCAGAACAAGAUUGAAGAAGAUCUUGCAAUUAACAUUAUGUUCAGAUGGGACUCAGUUUUCAACAAUGCCACAGCUGAUGAACAUGGAGAUGUCUGUUAAAAGCUAAACAAAAGCAAAAUAAAAAAUUCGAUCUUUUCUGACGUUGCAUCCCCCAUGCGUCCAUUUGAACGGAGAAGUGGGUUCCAACUCAUAGUAUUAGUAGCUUUGCUUGGAUUAGAAUAAUCCACUCAAGUGAGUGAACUUUGUGUUGAACAUUAUUAAGAGAAGUAGUUCCACGUUGGCUAG